rnacentral:snoRNA from 1 species
GGUGCGCCUAUGAUGAAUGUUUCAACCUGAUUUGAACCACUGGGCAAGUAAAUCUCACUAGGGUUUUUUUUUUCUUCUGAGGCAUAUU